rnacentral:rRNA from 1 species
GACAGAGGGUGCAAACGUUGCUCGGAAUCACUGGGCGUAAAGGGCGUGUAGGCGGGUAGGCAAGUCGGGCGUGAAAUCCCUGAGCUCAACUCAGGAACUGCACUCGAAACUGCUUAUCUUGAGUGCCGGAGAGGAAAGCGGAAUACCUGGUGUAGAGGUGAAAUUCGUAGAUAUCAGGUGGAACACCAGUGGCGAAGGCGGCUUGCUGGGCCGGACCUGACGCUGAGGCGCGAAGGCGUGGGGAGCGAACGGG